UACGUAGGGGGCAAGCGUUGUCCGGAUUUAUUGGGCGUAAAGAGCGUGUAGGCGGCUGGGUAGGUCCGUUGUGAAAACUCGAGGCUCAACCUCGAGACGCCGAUGGAAACCCUCCAGCUAGAGUCCAGAAGAGGAGAGUGGAAUUCCUGGUGUAGCGGUGAAAUGCGCAGAUAUCAGGAAGAACACCCGUGGCUAAGGCGGCUCUCUAGUACGGUACUGACGCUGAGACGCGAAAGCGUGGGGAGCGAACAGG
rnacentral:rRNA from 1 species